UACGUAGGUGGCAAGCGUUGUCCGGAAUUAUUGGGCGUAAAGGGCGUGUAGGUGGAUUUUUAAGUCGUGUGUCUAAGUGCGGUGCUCAACGCCGUAUGGGCGCAGGAAACUGGGGAUCUUGAGUGCAGGAGAGGAAAGUGGAAUUCCCAGUGUAGCGGUGAAAUGCGUAGAUAUUGGGAGGAACACCAGUGGCGAAGGCGACUUUCUGGACUGUGUCUGACACUGAGGCGCGAAAGCCAGGGGAGCGAACGGGAUUAGAUACCCCGGUAGUCCUGGCCGUAAACGAUGGGUACUAGGUGUAGAGAGGGUAUCGACCCCUUCUGUGCCGCAAGCAAACGCAAUAAGUACCCCGCCUGGGGAGUACGGCCGCAAGGUUGAA
rnacentral:rRNA from 1 species